GUUAAUCUUGACGAGGGCUGCAAGUGGGAAGGCGGGAGCGGGAGCGGGAGCACGAGAGAGAAUGGCCGACAGAUUGGAGCGGUGGCUUCCCCUCUUCGAGAUCUUCCUCAACUCCGCCGCGCCGGAGGGCGACGCCUCCCUCUGGUUCGAUAACCACCACCAUCCCACCACCGCCUUCCUCUCCCUACUCCUCUCUGCCGUCCCCUCUUCUCGUUCCCCGCCGCCCAUCCUCCUCCAAACCCUUCCCCCCGCCCUUCAGUCCCGCAUCCUCUCCUUCCUCGCCGUCCACCACCACCGCUUCCCUCGCGCCUGCCUCCUCUCCCUUGCCGCCCACUUCCUCGACUCCUCCGCCUUCAUCGAUAGCUCUGCUUUUUGGGCGCGUAAGGCCGCCCACCACCUGCUCGACGCAGUGUCCUCUUCGGCUCCUCCCGUUGCCUGUGGACAUACACUUGAUCAUCUUCACCGUAGAACGAAUGAGAACGAUGUCGAUCUCUAUGCGUUGCCUCAAUGGCUUAACGAUCCCGUCUUUGCUGCUGCUCCGCUUCUUCCUUGGCUUCCUCUCCCUGCGGGCUCAUUGCCCAGAAGCAACGAUCGAUAUUUUGCUGCCGAACCCCAAUCAAUGGAAUUAGUCGCUUUUCGAGAUGAUGAGCCUGCGACAUAUUCUCCUCUUCCUCCUCCUGUUCUUGAUCCACAGAUAAUCGAGCGUGCUUCGGUUUUGAAAGCGGAGCUGUUGGCAUCAGAGGCAGCACCUAAAGCCAUUCGCUUGGCCAAAGACAUCCGACAGCUCUGCUUGGACUCUGGAACUGGCAGCCAGCUUAUGGUUCUUGGCUUGAUCCAACCUUGGGAGGCCGACGAUGAGAUGGCUUCGGUUCUCCUUUCCAACUUGUCGGGAGAGCAUGGCUUGAGUUUCGUGGGAUGGCAUGCCCACGUUCUCUGCUCGCUCGUCCUCCCCAAGCUGCUGACGCUCCAAAAGCCGGCGUCGAGGGUGCUGCUAUCCGCCACGACACGGUUCUGCCAGCUCCAUCCUGUGGCGGCCGUCGAAGCUCUACUCCUACCCUUGUCACUUCGCAAGGAAGGGCUCAAUGUGGUUCUCUGUGAUGCGCUGGCGAGGGUCAUCAGAGAGUGCUUGCACCCGGUGCAUGUUUCGGCCUUCUGCCAGAGAUUGCUUUGCGGAAAUGCGGGGGACAGGAGGCCUGUGUGCUUGCCAUGCCAUGAGGAGUUGCUAUCUGAUGAGCUGGUGUGGACAGAAUCGCUGUUCAUGCUAUUCAACCAUGUCCUCAAUCACAAUGUUUGUUUGACACCCGACACUGCAGACCAUCUUGUGUCCGUGAUCGAUGAGAACGCACACAAGUUCUCUAAAUCUCUGAAGUUUGGGAAUUUCAUGUUGUGUUUCGUCUCCAAAUGCGCUAGAGCUUCCAGCCUGCACAAGGUUUCGUUGGAGAGAGCUGCUAUGAGGACAGGAACUUUCGUGACCAAAUCCAUACUAUCAAAGUUGAGCGUUUAGGUAAACACGGAAUUAGGAAACUCCAUUUCUUUUAUCGAAAAAAAAAACUAUGCAGGAACCUCAACGAAGAACAACCAAAAUGCAGAAAUAGCCAGCUACAAGAACUUGUGAGGACAGCCAAACAGCUGGUUGUGUAUGAUUAAGCCACUAAUUCGACCUAUUGGCACAGAGGGGAUCAGUUGCUAAGGAUGCUGAUCU